ACUGAACGCUGGCGGUAGGCCAAACACAUGCAAGUCGAACGGCAGCACAGUAAGAGCUUGCUCUUACGGGUGGCGAGUGGCGGACGGGUGAGGAAUACAUCAGAAUCUACUUUUUCGUGGGGGAUAACGUAGGGAAACUUACGCUAAUACCGCAUACGACCUACGGGUGAAAGCAGGGGAUCUUCGGACCUUGCGCGAUUGAAUGAGCCGAUGUCGGAUUAGCUAGUUGGCGGGGUAAAGGCCCACCAAGGCGACGAUCCGUAGCUGGUCUGAGAGGAUGAUCAGCCACACUGGAACUGAGACACGGUCCAGACUCCUACGGGAGGCAGCAGUGGGGAAUAUUGGACAAUGGGCGCAAGCCUGAUCCAGCCAUACCGCGUGGGUGAAGAAGGCCUUCGGGUUGUAAAGCCCUUUUGUUGGGAAAGAAAAGCAGCAGGUUAAUACCCCGCUGUUCUGACGGUACCCAAAGAAUAAGCACCGGCUAACUUCGUG
rnacentral:rRNA from 1 species